CGAGGACAACGCUGGCGGCGUGCCUAAUACAUGCAAGUCGAGCGAUGAUUGAAGAUAGCUUGCUAUUUUCAUGAAGAGCGGCGAACGGGUGAGUAACGCGUGGGAAAUCUGCCGAGUAGCGGGGGACAACGUUUGGAAACGAACGCUAAUACCGCAUAACAAUGAGAAUCGCAUGAUUCUUAUUUGAAAGAAGCAAUUGCUUCACUACUUGAUGAUCCCGCGUUGUAUUAGCUAGUUGGUAGUGUAAAGGACUACCAAGGCGAUGAUACAUAGCCGACCUGAGAGGGUGAUCGGCCACACUGGGACUGAGACACGGCCCAGACUCCUACGGGAGGCAGCAGUAGGGAAUCUUCGGCAAUGGGGGCAACCCUGACCGAGCAACGCCGCGUGAGUGAAGAAGGUUUUCGGAUCGUAAAACUCUGUUGUUAGAGAAGAACGUUGAGUAGAGUGGAAAAUUACUUAAGUGACGGUAUCUAACCAGAAAGGGACGGCUAACUACGUG
rnacentral:rRNA from 1 species